rnacentral:lncRNA from 1 species
UUAGGAAGCGGGCGAGUUACUGGAUGUCUGGGUGUUGGCGGAAGUGUGAUGGAUAAUUCGAGACAUCGGAAUACAGAGUAGGAGGAAGGCUGUAUAAACCGGCCCCGAGGACACAGGACCCAGCGAGCAAGUGAUGGGACCUGGGGGGAAGUACCCCCUGGUCAGGGGCAGCCGCAUGGUCACGUGAGCCAGGAGCAGGGAGGCCCGAGAGGAA